AGGUGGAGGCAAAUCCCUAAAAGACCAUCCCAGUUCGGAUUGCAGGCUGCAACCCGCCUGUAUGAAGUUGGAUUCGCUAGUAAUCGCGCAUCAGCCACGGCGCGGUGAAUACGUUCCCGGGCCUUGUACACACCGCCCGUCAAGCCAUGGAAGCCGGGAGUGCCUGAAGUGCGUGAGCGCAAGCAGCGCCCUAAGGUAAAACCGGUGACUGGGGCUAAGUCGUAACAAGGUAUC
rnacentral:rRNA from 1 species